UGGGGAAUAUUGGACAAUGGGCGCAAGCCUGAUCCAGCCAUGCCGCGUGAGUGAUGAAGGCCCUAGGGUUGUAAAGCUCUUUCACCGGGGAAGAUAAUGACGGGAACCGGAGAAGAAGCCCCGGAGAACUUCGUGCCAGCAGCCGCGGUAAUACGAAGGGGGCUAGCGUUGUUCGGAUUUACUGGGCGUAAAGCGCACGUAGGCGGACUUUUAAGUCAGGGGUGAAAUCCCGGGGCUCAACCCCGGAACUGCCUUUGAUACUGGAAGUCUUGAGUAUGGUAGAGGUGAGUGGAAUUCCGAGUGUAGAGGUGAAAUUCGUAGAUAUUCGGAGGAACACCAGUGGCGAAGGCGGCUCACUGGACCAUUACUGACGCUGAGGUGCGAAAGCGUGGGGAGCAAACAGG
rnacentral:rRNA from 1 species